rnacentral:rRNA from 1 species
GAUGAACGCUGGCGGCGUGCUUAACACAUGCAAGUCGAACGGGAAACCUUUUAUUGAAGCUUCGGCAGAUUUAGCUGGUUUCUAGUGGCGGACGGGUGAGUAACGCGUGGGUAACCUGCCUUAUACAGGGGGAUAACAGUCAGAAAUGGCUGCUAAUACCGCAUAAGCGCACAGAGCUGCAUGGCUCAGUGUGAAAAACUCCGGUGGUAUAAGAUGGACCCGCGUUGGAUUAGCUGGUUGGUGGGGUAACGGCCCACCAAGGCGACGAUCCAUAGCCGGCCUGAGAGGGUGAACGGCCACAUUGGGACUGAGACACGGCCCAGACUCCUACGGGAAGCAGCAGUGGGGAAUAUUGCACAAUGGGGGAAACCCUGAUGCAGCGACGCCGCGUGAAGGAAGAAGUAUCUCGGUAUGUAAACUUCUAUCAGCAGGGAAGAUAAUGACGGUACCUGACUAAGAAGCCCCGGCUAACUACGUG